CUGCAAUCUGUGAGCUGGUUCUAUGAGCUGGUGGAGCUCAGAGCCCCAGUCCCAGCACCCGCCCCCCUCCAGCUUGUUCAGAGGAGCUCAGCUCUGGGGGAGAGCUCAAAGCCGACACCUAUUGAGUUGCAGUUAAAAUGAGGGCGAAAAAGGCUUUUGUUUCAGUUCUGCAGAUGGUCUGGGAGUUUGUGUUUCUUAGCAAGAAUUUUCUAGACGUUUUGGCUUGAACCAUCUGAAAAACUGCCUCAAGCUUUUGCAUGGUUCCCACUGGGUGGGCUGGGUUGGGAGGGGCUGUCGUGCAUGGUCCGGGAAAGCUGGAGAAGGCUGUUCCUUCACCCCGAGCCUUGGAUUUCUUAUCUGUGAAAUGGGAGGCUGCAAUGAUGAAUGGCAAAGUACCUUUUUUUUUCAGCUCUGAAAGUCUAGGAUAUUUUGCCACUGGAAGACCAGCAGACAAUGUCAUGACAACUCAAGAGGAUACAACAGGGCUGCAUCAAAAGACAAGUCUUUGGACCAUGUCAAGACCUGGAGCGAAGAAGGUUUCAGUAUCAACCUGACUUCUUUUGGAAGGAUCCCUUGGCCUCACGCUGGAGUGGGCACCUGCCCUAGCCCACAGAGCUGGAUUUCUCCCUUUCUUCAAUCACACAGGGAGCACCACUAUGCAAAGACCUCAUCACAUUCACAGCCGUCUCCGCAGAGCCUCGCACUGUGCUUGGCAUAUAGCAGGUGCUCAAUAAAUAUCUGCCAAAUGACUGAAUGCAUCUCGCUAGCCUCAGGAUGCCACCAGGCCCUGAGGGAGCCAGGAAGAUCAGAGGAAAGCUUUUGGAUUCCUGCCACACCUUACAUUAGCAACAUCUUCUCCGAGUCCUGACAGCCAGCCUCCUGGGACACCAUUCAAGCCAGCUGAAUUCCGGUCACCGCUUCACCUUGGAAAGGCAUCCGCAGCCCUCACCAAGCGGCCCCGUAAUUGACGUCACAGCGGGGCCAGGAGCUGCCCUGUUAAUAUUUAAUGUGGCCUUCACUGCGCAAAAUGCAGCCUCUAAGAGCUGGAGGGGCCGUGCAGAGUCUCCAUGGGGUUGUGAGGAGGGCACAGAAGGGAAAGGGCUUUAUAAACCAUAAAGCGCCCAACAGAUGAGCAUUCUGCCGACCCAUUUCAGUCCCUGGCUUAACUCAGAAAGAGCCGGGGCUGCACAUGCCUGCAGUGGGACAAGAAGACUGCUGACCAAGCCCGAACACUAAAUCAAUGGGGGAUUAGGGGCUCCUGGGUACAUUCCAUUGAGACAGCGGGAGAGCAGAGCACUGGUGCCAGCCCAACCUGGACUCCACUCCAGGUUUGCCCCCUGCACAGCUGUGUGACUGGGUCAGCAAGUGCACUGCUGAGCCUCAGUCCCCCUUAUCUGUGAAAUGGGAAUGAUGCUUUCCUUGUAGCACUGCUGUGAAGAUUCAAUGAAACGAGUGAUGCCGAAGACCUAGCUUCACCCAUCGCAGGCUGUCAACACAGGCUGAGACCCUUCUCCAAAACCAGGCCUGGGACCUGAGGUUGGAGAGAGGAGACACGGGGUCCCUUCAGGCAUUCACUGGGCAGAGUGAUGGUGGGAGGGAAGAAGGAGCAAGGAGGCACAGGAAGGAUGACCUGGGAGCCAAGCAUCUCAGGUUUGGACUUUUCACCCUGGUGGGCCCACGCCAGGAGAGGUAUCAGAGAGAGGAUGGGUGGAGGGCCCCAGGAUGGCAGAAGCAGAAGGGCCCUCAUGGACAAUCUCUCUGAUCAUCUGACCCCUUUGUUUGGCAGAUGAGCAUCUGGGAGGGAGUAAACCAUGCCAGGGGCUCACAUGGCACAGCUGGGGUCUGACUGGCCUGCAGCCCUCUGGGGCUUCAUCAGCUAGGGUUUAUCCAAGGCCACAUGCCUAGUCCGGGAGGCAGAUGUGUUGGAAGACAUGAUGCAAUGGCCCCAUUCCUGGUGGUGACCUCCACUUCUUUGGCCAGGACAAUAGGAGGAACCUCAUCCCCCGCCCCUUCCUGGUCUCCCUCCAGUCUAUUUUCCCACGAAUCCUGGGAGCUUCCCAAAACGUAAAUCUGACCUUGUCCUCGCCCUGCUUAAAACCUUUCCAUGAUCCCACACUUAAGGUCUCCAGAGAAAAUACAGGAGGCUCAGUUAAAACUGAAUUUCAAGCUGGGUAUGGUGGCACACACCCGUAGUGCUACUCAACAGGCUGAGGCAGGAAGAUUGCUUGAGGCCAGGAGUUUGAGGCCAGCCUGGGCAACAUAAUGUGACCCU
ensembl:lncRNA YWHAH-AS1 YWHAH antisense RNA 1